rnacentral:rRNA from 1 species
UCGGGAAUUUUGGGCAAUGGGCGAAAGCCUGACCCAGCAACGCCGCGUGAAGGAUGAAGUAUUUCGGUAUGUAAACUUCGUAAGAAUAGGAAGAAUAAAUGACGGUACUAUUUGUAAGGUCCGGCUAACUACGUGCCAGCAGCCGCGGUAAUACGUAGGGACCAAGCGUUGUUCGGAUUUACUGGGCGUAAAGGGCGCGUAGGCGGUGUGCCAAGUCAGUUGUGAAAUCUCUGGGCUUAACCCAGAACGGCCAAGUGAUACUGUCGCGCUAGAGUGUAGCAGAGGGGGGUGGAAUUCCACGUGUAGCAGUGAAAUGCGUAGAGAUGUGGAGGAACACCGAUGGCGAAGGCAGCCCCCUGGGUUAACACUGACGCUCAUGCACGAAAGCGUGGGGAGCAAACAGGAUUAGAUACCCACGUAGUCCCUGAGCGGGCUGGCAAGGCGCAU